GCCCCUGUGGCCUAAUGGAUAAGGCACUGGCCCCUUAAGUCAGGGACUGUGGGUUUGAGUCCCACCUGGGGAA
rfam:TPA: Bos taurus chromosome 5, whole genome shotgun sequence.